rnacentral:rRNA from 1 species
CCUACGGGGGGCUGCAGUGGGGAAUAUUGCACAAUGGGCGCAAGCCUGAUGCAGCCAUGCCGCGUGUGUGAAGAAGGCCUUCGGGUUGUAAAGCACUUUCAGCGGGGAGGAAGGCGGUGAGGUUAAUAACCUCAUCGAUUGACGUUACCCGCAGAAGAAGCACCGGCUAACUCCGUGCCAGCAGCCGCGGUAAUACGGAGGGUGCAAGCGUUAAUCGGAAUUACUGGGCGUAAAGCGCACGCAGGCGGUCUGUCAAGUCGGAUGUGAAAUCCCCGGGCUCAACCUGGGAACUGCAUUCGAAACUGGCAGGCUAGAGUCUUGUAGAGGGGGGUAGAAUUCCAGGUGUAGCGGUGAAAUGCGUAGAGAUCUGGAGGAAUACCGGUGGCGAAGGCGGCCCCCUGGACAAAGACUGACGCUCAGGUGCGAAAGCGUGGGGAGCAAACAGGAUUAAUACCCCUGUAGUC